rnacentral:lncRNA from 1 species
AUGGUUAGGCUUGAAGAAUCAUAUUUCAUGGUAAUAUGUAUACUACUUGGUGCGUUCCUCGCAAGUCAUCAGUGUAAUCUCCAACCGUUUAUAGGUAACAAAAUGUGAAAGCCAAUUAAAAGCCAGCUGGAGAGCACUAAAGGCUUGGAAAAGUGGCUAUAACAGUUACCUAAAUAAAGAAGUUUUAUUUCAAUAAAUUAGGUUUUAUCCCAAUAAACAUGUUUGUAAUGGAAACUUGGGAAUCUCCCAUGUAUUUAUUAUUAUAAAAAUAUUGUGUUUUACUCUGAUACACUAUUUUCUAACUACGGUCCUC